rnacentral:rRNA from 1 species
AUUGAACGCUGGCGGCAGGCCUAACACAUGCAAGUCGAGCGAGCGGCGGACGGGUGAGUAAUGUAUGGGGACUGCCCGAUAGAGGGGGAUAACUACUGGAAACGGUGGCUAAUACCGCAUACUAUCGGAUUACCCAUAUGGGAUUAGCUAGUAGGUGGGGAAAAGGCUCACCUAGGCGACGAUCUCUAGCUGGGCUGAGAGGAUGAUCGGCCACACUGGGGCUGAGACACGGCCCAGAGCCGUACGGAGGCAGCAGUGGGGAAGAUGGCAGGUUGGGCGCAAGCCUGAUGCAGCCCUGCGGCGUGUAUGAAGAUGGCCUUGGGGUUGGAGAGUACUUUCAGCGGGGAGGCGUUACCCGCAGAAGGAGCGCCGGCUAACUCCGUGCCAGAGCCGCGGUAAUUC